UUCUAAGGAGCUCCGACUAUAAAAAGGUCCAGAGUUCAGGUCACAGUCAGGUGUCUUAAGAGAACAGUACCUCCAACGUACAUACAUCGUUGAUUGGAAGAGAGUCCAAAACCAAAAUGGCCAUUCUAAAGUUCGUGAUAAUGUGUCUGCUGAUUGCUCUAGGUAAAUAAAAAAAACUAUUUA
rnacentral:sRNA from 1 species